UUUUGUGAUAGUGAUGUGUUUGUAGAUCUUACUUUACUGAGCAUUCUUGUUGCUACAAUUAUCUCUAUCAAUAAUGAACUUGGCCCAGUAAUUACAGUGGAAAAUAUUUUUCAAAAAUUUACAAAAAUUUAUGAAAAAUAUUAAAAAUUAACUAUAAAGGGCAAUAACUCCUUAAGGGGUCAAUUGACUAUUUUGGUCAUGUAAACUUAUUUGUAGAUCUUAUUUUGCUGAACGUUAUUGCUGUAUACAGUUUAUCUCUAUCUAUAAUAAUAUUCAAG
rnacentral:lncRNA from 1 species